rnacentral:ncRNA from 1 species
AAACUCCGGAGAAUUCCAAUCAAUGGAUGCCGAAGGUGCAAAGGGGCGAAAGCCCACGAAUCUCUCAGGCAAAAGGACGGAGUGUG